AGUGAACGCUGGCGGUAGGCCUAACACAUGCAAGUCGAACGGCAGCACAGUAAGAGCUUGCUCUUACGGGUGGCGAGUGGCGGACGGGUGAGGAAUACAUCGGAAUCUACUUUUUCGUGGGGGAUAACGUAGGGAAACUUACGCUAAUACCGCAUACGACCUACGGGUGAAAGCAGGGGAUCUUCGGACCUUGCGCGACUGAAUGAGCCGAUGUCGGAUUAGCUAGUUGGCGGGGUAAAGGCCCACCAAGGCGACGAUCCGUAGCUGGUCUGAGGGGAUGAUCAGCCACACUGGAACUGAGACACGGUCCAGACUCCUACGGGAGGCAGCAGUGGGGAAUAUUGGACAAUGGGCGCAAGCCUGAUCCAGCCAUACCGCGUGGGUGAAGAAGGCCUUCGGGUUGUAGAGCCCUUUUGUUGGGAAAGAAAAGCAGCAGGUUAAUACCCCGCUGUUCUGACGGUACCCAAAGAAUAAGCACCGGCUAACUUCGUG
rnacentral:rRNA from 1 species